rnacentral:misc_RNA from 1 species
CAACCCUCAAGCUCAGCUUGGUAUUAGGCCUCACCUGCUACAGGCGGGCCUUAAAAUCAGUGGCGGUGCCAUUUGGCUUCAAGCGUAGUAAUUUUUCUCGCUCAGGAGUACCAAUUGUGUGCCUGCUAUAAAAUCCAAAUUUUAUCAAA